ACGCUGGCGGCAGGCCUAACACAUGCAAGUCGAGCGGCAGCACGGGUACUUGUACCUGGUGGCGAGCGGCGGACGGGUGAGUAAUGCCUAGGAAUCUGCCUGGUAGUGGGGGAUAACGCUCGGAAACGGACGCUAAUACCGCAUACGUCCUACGGGAGAAAGCAGGGGACCUUCGGGCCUUGCGCUAUCAGAUGAGCCUAGGUCGGAUUAGCUAGUUGGUGAGGUAAUGGCUCACCAAGGCGACGAUCCGUAACUGGUCUGAGAGGAUGAUCAGUCACACUGGAACUGAGACACGGUCCAGACUCCUACGGGAGGCAGCAGUGGGGAAUAUUGGACAAUGGGCGAAAGCCUGAUCCAGCCAUGCCGCGUGUGUGAAGAAGGUCUUCGGAUUGUAAAGCACUUUAAGUUGGGAGGAAGGGCAGUUACCUAAUACGUAUCUGUUUUGACGUUACCGACAGAAUAAGCACCGGCUAACUCUGUGCCAGCAGCCGCGGUAAUACAGAGGGUGCAAGCGUUAAUCGGAAUUACUGGGCGUAAAGCGCGCGUAGGUGGUUUGUUAAGUUGGAUGUGAAAUCCCCGGGCUCAACCUGGGAACUGCAUUCAAAACUGACAAGCUAGAGUAUGGUAGAGGGUGGUGGAAUUUCCUGUGUAGCGGUGAAAUGCGUAGAUAUAGGAAGAACACCAGUGGCGAAGGCGACCACCUGGACUGAUACUGACACUGAGGUGCGAAAGCGUGGGGAGCAAAC
rnacentral:rRNA from 1 species